AUAUUUUUCUUGGACUUCGGAUCAGCUUUGGCCUAGCUCUCACUGAAGUAGAAGCUAAUGAGUGUCUCCCAAAGCUAAUGAGUGUCUCCCAAGAUAAAAGGAAUAAGGCGACUAAAGGGUGCACUACUUGAAUGAACUCUCAUUCUUCAACUCUUUUCUUUUCAAAAAUUCUUCUCACCAUCCUACUAUGAAGAGGGGAGUGAGCAAGGAGCAGCUCAAGGUUACAAAAGUUUGCAAAUUGGAAAAAAAUUUUCCAAAUAGCUGUGAAGUUGAGAGAAAGUAGAAACAUUUGAUCUCCAUAUUUUCAACUAUUUUCUGACUGAAAAGAAAAUGAAAAAAAGGGAAUAUGUCAUCAAAAAUAGUAUUUCAGUUCUUAGAAUUUCUGAAA